GCUACACAUGCAGUCGACGGGGUCCACGGAGUGCUUGCACUCCCGAAGACCUAGUGGCGAACGGGUGAGUAACACGUGAGAAACCUGCCUCAGACUCUGGGAUAACCCAAGGAAACUUGAGCUAAUACCGGAUACUCUCUCUCGGUCGCAUGGCCGGUUGAGGAAAGUUCUUCGGUCUGGGAGGGUCUCGCGGCCUAUCAGCUAGUUGGUGGGGUAACGGCCUACCGAGGCGACGACGGGUAGCUGGUUUGAGAGAACGAUCAGCCACACUGGAACUGAGACACGGUCCAGACUCCUACGGGAGGCAGCAGUGGGGAAUCUUGCGCAAUGGGCGAAAGCCUGACGCAGCAACGCCGCGUGCGGGAUGAAGGCCUUCGGGUUGUAAACCGCUUUCAGCAGGGACGAAAAUGACGGUACCUGCAGAAGAAGCCCCGGCUAACUACGUGCCAGCAGCCGCGGUAAUACGUAGGGGGCGAGCGUUGUCCGGAUUUAUUGGGCGUAAAGAGCUCGUAGGCAGUUCCGUAAGUCGAGUGUGAAAAAUCUGGGCUCAACCCAGUGGAGCACUCGAUACUGCGGUGACUAGAGUACGGUAGAGGAGUGUGGAAUUUGUGGUGUAGCGGUGAAAUGCGCAGAUAUCACAAGGAACACCAACGGCGAAAGCAGCACUCUGGGCCGGUACUGACGCUGAGGAGCGAAAGCGUGGGGAGCAAACAGGAUUAGAUACCCUGGUAGUCCACGCCGUAAACGUUGGGCACUAGUGUGGGGAGGAAUCAACCCUUUCCG
rnacentral:rRNA from 1 species